GCUGGGGUACUUGGAGGGGAGGGGUCCUGGGUGGGAAGGAGGCUGCUGGGGAGACCCUGCAACUCAUUUCCGCCCUAGGACAAUGGCAACAAGGUCAGGCUGUUGCAUGAAGUGCCAGCAUAGCCCGUGGUGGUCAGCUGCCUCCCAUAACCAUUGUUUCCCUUGUAUUUUUGGUUUACUAAGCAAGUGAUAAGCCAGAUCUUCCAUCGAUUCGGAGCCUCCAGAGGCUUGCUUGUAUGUAUCCCUCCCACUCCUGCUUACAGAAUGCCUCAGAAAAUACUUGUGGAUUUGAUGGCAGCUUUAAUCUAUAAGAAAGAAAGAAUAACUGGAAUGCCUUUGCAAAGUUACGUUCCACCCAGUUCCCGCCCUCAGGAAGCUCAGGGUGACAUGGGAAGUUUGGGAUGGGCACAGUUUAUUACAAGGCAGAAAGGGACCAUUGGGUGCUACUAUCCUAAGAUAUUUUCAGAAAAUGGUAGGCCAAGGAUAGGAAUAUGAGAAAUAAGUUUGAGCUUAGGGGCCAGGGUAGGUGUCCUGGAGAAGUGGGGCCUGCGGGAUGCAUCGGGGAGGAAAUGCAGGACGCCCCUGACUCCCUGCACAUUGCGGGAGUUGAGUGGACACACGAGGACAGGGCUGUGGGGGCCUGCAGUGAGGGCAAGGAGCUGUUCCUGUCCAUUCUCUGUGCUGAGUUUCAGGAGCUUCCAUCCUUUUCUUUGGCCCAUAUCAAACUGGCAAGAAUGGCUGGGAGAGCAACUGUCUGUGCCAAGCUCACUCAGCUCCAAGAAGCUCCCAUGUAUCCUUGGUGUCAGGGCACCCGUCCUCACCCAGCCUGAGCACUGGGAAACAUGCUCCUCUGGCUCUGGGCCUCUGUCCCUGUUGAGCAGUGGAGUGGCCAGGCUCUGAAGUCAGAGGGGCCCAGAGGCAGCUCGGCCAAGCUGCCCACCUCCCCUUCCUCUCCAGACCCUCCCCACACCAGAUCCUUCUCCAUAUUAAAAAAUAUAUAUAGUCCUUCAGUAUAGUUCAUGAGAGAAAACAACAACAAAAGAAUUUUCUUAAUAAUGGUACCAGAGUCAGGAAGCAGGCCGUGGGAUCCCAGGGGAGAGCGGGUAGGUAGAUACAGCUACAGCCAUAGCAGUCAGCUUGUACCCCUGGAGUGCAGUGGUUGAGAUGGAGAAGUCAAUUACCAGGCAGCACAGCUGUUUUUUAAAACUUUCUCCUGAAAGCAGGGACGUUGUUCACACUAAUGCUAACGGUCGUCCAGCACCGGCUGCCACGUUGCUGCAGCUGGAAAUGGGGGCUUCGGCAGUGAUUCCUGGAGCGUAGGUCCGCUUUCUUGCUAGACUCUUGCCUAAGUUCACUAUGAUGUCAUCCUGAGUGUGUCUGUUUCCUCACAGUUUGAACAGGAAAAUCAGCGACUAAUUGGUGAAAUGAACAGCUUGUUUGAUGAAGUGAGGCAAAUCGAAGGGAGAGUGGUUGAGAUUUCCAGACUCCAAGAGAUAUUCACGGAAAAGGUUUUGCAACAGGAAGCUGAGAUUGACAGCAUUCACCAGUUAGUUGUGGGGGCAACGGAAAAUAUCAAGGAAGGCAACGAAGACAUAAGAGAGGUAGGCACUGUGUAGGUUCCCCAGGUGCGACGUGGCGCAGCACUGAGUCCCAGCAGCGGGUGUUAGUCUCGCCGGCACAGCUGCCCAGGAGCCUUGCUGGGCAGAGCUCACAGGGCUGAUCACAAAAUUGUGUGACCGUGAGGCCACGGUCCGUUCCAGCGGAGCUGCGUGUGUUCAUGAGACCCACCACCUGUCGCCCACCUCCAGCUGCUUUCGAGAGGCAGUGGCUCAGCAGCCUCCAAAAGAGCCAUCCAGGGUGGGUGGGGUACUCCUGGCAGGGUCAGGCCAGCUCUUCAUGUCCAGGGGUGUACGUGGGUAGCUCGCUGGCCCCCACCGAGGGGUCAGAGCCUGGCCCUUGCUUACCGAGGACACUGCAGCCAUCCUGUUGAGGGGACCGUUUCCCAAGCUCAGUCCUCAGGGUUGGGUCACCACGGACAUCGUGUUACUGGGAAACACAAAGCUUGCGGUCACACUCUGCUCGGGGCCUUUAACCCUGGGACAGAAGGGAGUGAUUCCGAGAGUUGUGUUGAGGGAGAAUUGUGCAGGACCCAAAUGAUGGCCAAACAGAGGGAAAUAGAACCCAUUUGUCUUCUGGUGGAUCUCAAAAGCCAUCUAUUCAAGGUAAGCACAGAUGGAACGACACCCAUAGUUACAGCCAGGAUCAGGAGAGCACGUGGGAAGAGGGGGGCAUUUCAGGGCUGCUCAAACCAAAAUCCUGUGUGAUAAAAACACCUGUGCUCCCGUCCCUGCCCAGGCCAUUAAAAACAACGCUGGCUUCCGCGUGUGGAUCCUCUUCUUCCUCGUGAUGUGCUCCUUCUCCUUGCUCUUCCUCGACUGGUACGACAGCUAGCCGGGGCCACGGGGGCCCAGCACGAGAGUCCUCAUGGGCACUCACAGACUGCGUGCUUUCGUGUACUUCCAGUGCUGGAGCAUGGUAUGACCAGAUUUUAUCACAGUGCCAUUUGAAGGGAAAGGAGUUCAGACAGACAGACGUAUUCCCCAAAAAGGGAUACCCCAGGCCGAUGGUGUUCAGCCCAUUUAGCAGCUGAAAAAGGAAACAGUGCACACCAAUGGGAGGCAGCCUGCGUAGCCCUCAUCAGGCAAGACAGACUGAAUGCAGGAGCGGGUGAUUAGCUGCUCCUGAACUUGAGGCUGCCUUGGCAGGGGGGCUGCUCCAGUAGCAGGGGCACAGCAGGCCUCAAGAGCCCCUAAUUGUCUCAGGGUUCAAAGGAAGACACUGACCUUUCCCAUCCCGGUAGCUUCAGGGAAGAUCAUAGUUAAUAACGUCUCUCAACAAAUGAUUACUUCUUUGUUUCCUUGUGGCUUCUUGUCUGUCUCAGUCAACGAAUACACAGACUUACUGGAUUAUAGAAGAGAAAAUUCACAUCUGCCUUGUUAAUCUAAUAAAUAUAAUUACAGCCCCUUAAUGUGUUGUCAAUGAGUCUAAGUUGACAAAUUCAGUGGCAGCCCAGCCACCUCCUAUCAAUCAAUCAGGGAAGAAAUGCAGGGGAGACUGGGGCCCUCAGUGAGGGGCUGCCUGGCAUUACUCCUCCAAAGACUGCUGCCCCCAGAGCAGGCAGGGGGUGUGGGAGGGCCAGUUUCCCGCCACUGGGUCCAAGGAGCCUUUGUUCAAAGGAAGAAGUGGGCCACGGAAGAACGGGCCUGCUUCUCCCGUGCCUGUGCUUCUGACCUCCAGGAACUGUAAACACGAACACCUAUGUGUAACUGAAGGCGUGAGACAUCUGUAAAGAAAGCAUCCCAGCGCCCACAUGGGCAUGAGACAGUCUGCACUGCGCCUGGUGAAAUGCGUGUGUGUACAGACAGUCCACUGGGCAGCACAGGUAUCCUCAUGUUCUUUAUUUGCACAGAGUGAAAUGUCAGAAGUUACAUGUAAAUGAAUUCACAGUCAAUAAAGUCCACGUCUACCUGGAAA
rnacentral:sRNA from 1 species